ensembl:lncRNA novel transcript
CUCUUCUCCUGGAACCCCUCCCUGGGCACACACCCACUUACCCCACGGGCCCCUCCAUCUGGGCUCUCCUUUUGCCCGCACUGUUUGCUCUUGUCUCUGACGGUCGUGAUUUUGUUUAAGGGUCAGCCUCCUCCAUCGGAUUGGCAGCUCCUGGAGAGCAGGACCCAUGUCUGAUCACCUAGAAGACCUAGGUGGGUGUGGGUGAACAGGCUGUGAAAAGGGGUGACUUUCACUUCUUUCCUUUACAGGGCCGGAGUUAAGAUGAGUCCAGCGAAGUGCCUAGAGUACCAAAUUCAUGGAGACGUUUCCUCUUUGGGGAACACACGCCAACCCCAGAGACAGCUUUGGUCUGAAUCGUGCAGGUUCCGGGAAGACACGGUGACCAGCUGAAUCGUGUGGUCUCGUCUGAGAUGCAGAUUCAAGAUCAGAGUCUCCUGCUCACACUGAGGCAUCUUCACAGUGUCCUGGAGGAGCUGCGUGCGGACAGCGCCCACUGGGAGGACGCCAGGUCCAGCGGAGGGACAUCCCCCAUCAGAGCUCGAGCGGGCUCCGAAGGCAGGGGCUGCCAGCCG